GCCGAAGUGGCGGAAUCGGCAGACGCACACGACUCAAAAUCGUGCGGGCUUAGCCCAUGGGGGUUCGACUCCCCCCUUCGGCACCA
rnacentral:tRNA from 1 species